GGUCUAAUAGUGUAGAGGUUAGCACAUGGGAUUUUGAUCUUGGGCUCCCUUUCGUAUUCCCAUAACCCAGGUUCGAGUCCUGGUUAGACCU
rnacentral:tRNA from 1 species